UGCAGGAUAGACGAUUGGCAAGUCACCUUGACUCUGAAUCAAGGAGAGGUUGGUUCGACCCCAACUCCUGCAUCCA
rnacentral:tRNA from 1 species